rnacentral:rRNA from 1 species
CACAGUAAGAGCUUGCUCUUAUGGGUGGCGAGUGGCGGACGGGUGAGGAAUACAUCGGAAUCUACUUUUUCGUGGGGGAUAACGUAGGGAAACUUACGCUAAUACCGCAUACGACCUACGGGUGAAAGCAGGGGAUCUUCGGACCUUGCGCGAUUGAAUGAGCCGAUGUCGGAUUAGCUAGUUGGCGGGGUAAAGGCCCACCAAGGCGACGAUCCGUAGCUGGUCUGAGAGGAUGAUCAGCCACACUGGAACUGAGACACGGUCCAGACUCCUACGGGAGGCAGCAGUGGGGAAUAUUGGACAAUGGGCGCAAGCCUGAUCCAGCCAUACCGCGUGGGUGAAGAAGGCCUUCGGGUUGUAAAGCCCUUUUGUUGGGAAAGAAAUCCAGCCGGUUAAUACCUGGUUGGGAUGACGGUACCCAAAGAAUAAGCACCGGCUAACUUCGUGCCAGCAGCCGCGGUAAUACGAAGGGUGCAAGCGUUACUCGGAAUUACUGGGCGUAAAGCGUGCGUAGGUGGUUGUUUAAGUCUGUUGUGAAAGCCCUGGGCUCAACCUGGGAACUGCAGUGGAAACUGGACAACUAGAGUGUGGUAGAGGGUAGCGGAAUUCCCGGUGUAGCAGUGAAAUGCGUAGAGAUCGGGAGGAACAUCCAUGGCGAANGCAGCUAC